rnacentral:rRNA from 1 species
UCCUUCCGGUUAGGGGACCUGCGGAAGGAUCAUUAACGAGUAAACAGGAGAGUUGUAGCUGGCCGCAAGGCAUGUGCACGCUCUCUACUCAAUCCAACCUUACACCUGUGCACCUAUUGUAGGUCGAGUGGCUGGACUUGUUCUGGUCGCUCUUCCUAUGUUUUACACAUACACUUGUAGUCUCAGAAUGUAAUCAGCGUAUAACGCAUUAUAAAACAACUUUCAACAACGGAUCUCUUGGCUCUCGCAUCGAUGAAGAACGCAGCGAAAUGCGAUAAGUAAUGUGAAUUGCAGAAUUCAGUGAAUCAUCGAAUCUUUGAACGCACCUUGCGCUCCUUGGUAUUCCGAGGAGCAUGCCUGUUUGAGUGUCAUGAAUAUCUCAACUCACCCGGUUUUUAUUAACUGUGGUGGGCUUGGACUUGGAGGUAUGCUGGCUGACUAGUCGGCUCCUCUCUAAAUGCAUUAGCUGGACCUGUUAUGGAUCAGUACUCGGUGUGAUAAUUGUCUACGCCGUGUCUGUGAAGUGCUUGAAUGGACUAGCUUCUAACCGUCUUCGGACAACUAUUGACAUUUGACCUCAAAUCAGGUAGAU